CCUACGGGUGGCAGCAGUCGAGAAUCAUUCACAAUGGGGGAAACCCUGAUGGUGCGACGCCGCGUGGGGGAAUGAAGGUCUUCGGAUUGUAAACCCCUGUCAUGUGGGAGCAAAUUAAAAAGAUAGUACCACAAGAGGAAGAUACGGCUAACUCUGUGCCAGCAGCCGCGGUAAUACAGAGGUCUCAAGCGUUGUUCGGAAUCACUGGGCGUAAAGUGUGCGUAGGCUGUUUGGUAAGUCGUGUGUGAAAGGCGCGGGCUCAACCCGCGGACGGCACAUGAUACUGCGAGACUAGAGUAAUGGAGGGGGAACCGGAAUUCUCGGUGUAGCAGUGAAAUGCGUAGAUAUCGAGAGGAACACUCGUGGCGAAGGCGGGUGCCUGGACAUUAACUGACGCUGAGGCACGAAGGCCAGGGGAGCGAAAGGGAUUAGAUACCCGUGUAGUC
rnacentral:rRNA from 1 species